rnacentral:rRNA from 1 species
AGAGUUUGAUCCUGGCUCAGAAUCAACGCUGGCGGCGUGCCUCAGACAUGCAAGUCGAACGAUUAAACUUUCCUUCGGGAAAGAUAUAAAGUGGCGCACGGGUGAGUAACACGUAAGUAAUCUACCUUCGAGUGGGGAAUAACAUCGGGAAACCGAUGCUAAUACCGCAUAAUGCAGCGGCAUCGCAAGAUGACAGUUGUUAAAGGAUUUAUUCGCUUGAAGAGGAGCUUGCGGCAGAUUAGCUUGUUGGUAAGGUAACGGCUUACCAAGGCUACGAUCUGUAACCGGUCUAAGAGGACGGUCGGUCACACUGACACUGAAUAACGGGUCAGACUCCUACGGGAGGCAGCAGUCGGGAAUUUUGGGCAAUGGGCGAAAGCCUGACCCAGCAACGCCGCGUGAAGGAUGAAGUAUUUCGGUAUGUAAACUUCGAAAGAAUAUGAAGAAUAGAUGACGGUACUAUAUAUAAGGUCCGGCUAACUACGUGCCAGCAGCCGCGGUAAUACGUAGGGACCAAGCGUUGUUCGGAUUUACUGGGCGUAGAGGGCGCGUAGGCGGCUUGACAAGUCACUAGUGAAAUCUCUGGGCUGACCCAGAACGCCAAGUGAUCUGUCAUGCUAGAGUGCGAAAGGCAAUCGAAUCUGGUGUAGCGUGAAUGCGUAGAUUCAGAGACACUGAGUUAGACGGUGCUGGCUACCUACCGAGCCUAAGCAGGGACAACGGAUGAACUGUAUAUGCAAUCGCACUGCGCGUCAUGAUCACUGACACUGC